rnacentral:lncRNA from 1 species
CUGGCCUCAAGUGAUCCCCCCAUGUCAGCCUUGCAAAACACUGGGAUUACAGGGCAUGAGCCACCAUGUCUGGCCUGGACAAGUGACUUUUGACAAAAGUCAAAAUAUUGAGAAAGGGUAGUAUUUUUAAACAAAUGGUGUGGAAACAUUUGAAUAUCCAUAAGCAAAAACAAAACAAAACAAAACAAAAACAUAAAAGAACUUGGAUCCAUAUUUCACACCAUAUAACUCAAAAUACAUGCUAGAUCUAGAUGUAAAACUUAAACCUUUAGAAGAAAACACAGGAAAAAAUCAUUGUAAUCUUUGGUUAGGCAAGGAUUUCUUAGAUACAGCACUCAAAGCACAACCCAGAAAUGAACAAAUGGAAAGAACGGACUUCAUCAAAAUAAGCAGUUCUGUUCUUCAAAAGACACUCUUAAGAGAAUGAAAAGACAAUCCAGAGACUGGGAGAAAACCUUUGCAAGGAUAAUGGACUGAUAGUGAAGUUACACCCAGAAUAUAUUUUUAAAAACUAUCAGUGCUCAACAAUAAAAAAACCCAAAUAACCCAACUGAUAAUGGGCAAAAGAUUUAAACAGACACUUCAUCAAAGAUUCUCAAUAAAAGAUGAUCAAUAUUAUUAAUCAUUAGGGCAGUGUAAAUUAAUAUCACAAUAUAACUUCACAUGUACUAGGAUAGCUAUAAUAAAAAAGACUAAUAAUAAUAAGAGUUGGUAAGGAUGUGGAGAAACCGGAAACCUCAUACAUUGAUAGAAUGUAAAAUGGUGCAGUCAUGUGAGGAACAGGCCUAGGUCUCAGGUCUCAGCCAUCACUCAUCUAUCCUGGGGAGAUACUACAAUGGUUUGGAGGACAAGAAAAUAAAACCGAAAACUAAAACUGACAUAUCACUAUAUGCCCACCACUAAUGGCUAUAGUAAAAAAGAUGGAAAAUGCCAAAUGUUGGCAAGUAUGUGGAGCACUAGAACUCGCAUACUGGGUUGGUGGGAGUGUACAUUGGUACAACCACUUGAAAACUGGUUUUAUAACAUAUAGCUGAACAUAUGGAUACACUUAGGUACAUACCUAACAGGAAUACAUACAUAUGUUCACCAAUACACAGCAACACAAUUCCUAAUAGCCCAAGCUGCAAACAACCCAAAUGUCUACAAACAGUAGAAUAAUGUGAAUGACAGAAGACAGAUGCUAAAGAGUAUAUGGCUCAAUUAUAUGAUAUAUAAUUGACUCAAUUUAUAUAAAAUACAAAACAGGCAAAAUGAAUCUAUGCUGUGAGAAGCCAGG